rnacentral:rRNA from 1 species
UACGGAGGAUGCGAGCGUUAUCCGGAUUAUUGGGUUUAAAGGGUGCGCAGGCGGGCUGUUAAGCCGGCGGUAAAAAUUCAGGGCUCAACCCUGUCGAGCCGUCGGGAACUGGCAGUCUUGAGUGGGCGAGAAGUAUGCGGAAUGCGUGGUGUAGCGGUGAAAUGCAUAGAUAUCACGCAGAACGCCGAUUGCGAAGGCAGCAUACCGGCGCCCGACUGACGCUGAGGCACGAAAGCGUGGGGAUCGAACAGG